rnacentral:miRNA from 1 species
CUCUCUCUCUAUAUAUAUAUGUAUACACACUCUCUCUAUAUAUAUUUGUAUAUGUAUAUGUGUAUAUAUAUAUCAAAAGAUUAAGUACUGUA